UACGAAGGGGGCUAGCGUUGUUCGGAAUUACUGGGCGUAAAGCGCACGUAGGCGGACUAUUAAGUCAGGGGUGAAAUCCCGGGGCUCAACCCCGGAACUGCCUUUGAUACUGGUAGUCUCGAGUCCGGAAGAGGUGAGUGGAACUGCGAGUGUAGAGGUGAAAUUCGUAGAUAUUCGCAAGAACACCAGUGGCGAAGGCGGCUCACUGGCCCGGUACUGACGCUGAGGCACGAAAGCGUGGGGAGCAAACAGG
rnacentral:rRNA from 1 species